CUUCCAAACCCUCUGCUCACCUACCAGCUCUAUGGGAAGUUCAGUGUGAGUAAGGGAGCUGGCGGGACGGAGGGGGCCAGGACACCUCUGGCCCAGACCUCAUCACACCCGCCCACCAUCUCAGGAGGCCAUGUCAGUGCCUGGGGAGGAGGAGCGUCUGGUGCGGGUGCACGAUGUCAUCCAGCAGCUGCCCCCGCCACAUUACAGGACGCUGGAGUACCUGCUGAGGCACCUGGCCCGCAUGGCGAGACACAGUGCCAACACCAGCAUGCAUGCCCGCAACCUGGCCAUUGUCUGGGCACCCAACCUGCUACGGUCCAUGGAGCUGGAGUCAGUGGGAAUGGGUGGCGCGGCGGCGUUCCGGGAAGUUCGGGUGCAGUCGGUGGUGGUGGAGUUUCUGCUCACCCAUGUGGACGUCCUGUUCAGCGACACCUUCACCUCCGCCGGCCUCGACCCUGCAGCUCCUCCGCUCAGGAUUCCCACCUCUUGGCCCGGACGCCGCUC
rnacentral:sRNA from 1 species